GACGAACGCUGGCGGCGUGCUUAACACAUGCAAGUCGUACGGUAAGGCCCUUUCGGGGGUCCACGAGUGGCGAACGGGUGAGUAACACGUGAGUAACCUGCCCACAACUUUGGGAUAACGCUAGGAAACUGGUGCUAAUACUGGAUAUGUGCUCCUGCUGCAUGGUGGGGGUUGGAAAGCUCCGGCGGUUGUGGAUGGACUCGCUGCCUAUCAGCUUGUUGGUGGGGUAGUGGCCUACCAAGGCGGCUACGGGUAGCCGGCCUGAGAGGGUGACCGGCCACCUUGAGACUGAGAUACGGCCCAAGCUCCGACGGGAGGGAGAAGUGGGGAAUAUUGCACAAUGGGCGCAAGCCUGAUGCAGCAACGCCGCGGGCGGGAUGACGGCCUUGGGGUUGAAGACCGCAUUCAGCAGGGACGAUGCUUUUUGUGACGGUACCUGCAGAAGAAGCACCGGCUAACUACGUG
rnacentral:rRNA from 1 species